rnacentral:rRNA from 1 species
GACAGAGGUGCCAAGCGUUAGGCGGAAUUACUGGGCGUAAAGCGCAUGUAGGCGGCCAAGCAGGUCGGAUGUGAGAUCCCUCGGCUCAACCAAGGAAGUGCAUUCGAAACCGCAUGGCUGGAGUCCCGGAGAGGGUAGUGGAAUUCUCGGUGUAGAGGUGAAAUUCGUAGAUAUCGAGAGGAACACCGGCGGCGAAAGCGGCUACCUGGACGAGGACUGACGCUGAGAUGCGAAAGCGUGGGGAGCAAACAGG